UACGGAGGAUCCAAGCGUUAUCCGGAUUUAUUGGGUUUAAAGAGCGUGUAGGCGGCCAGAUAGGUCCGUUGUGAAAACUCGAGGCUCAACCUCGAGACGCCGAUGGAAACCGACUGGCUAGAGUCCGGAAGAGGAGAGUGGAAUUCCCGGUGUAGCGGUGAAAUGCGCAGAUAUCGGGAAGAACACCCGUGGCUAAGGCGGCUCUCUAGUACGGUACUGACGCUGAGACGCGAAAGCGUGGGGAGCGAACAGG
rnacentral:rRNA from 1 species